rnacentral:rRNA from 1 species
GACCUCAAAUCAGGUAAGAAAAAUAUGGACUUAAGCAUAUCAAUAAGCGGAGGA